rnacentral:rRNA from 1 species
GAUGAACGCUGGCGGCGUGCCUAAUACAUGCCAGUCGAGCGAACAGACGAGGAGCUUGCUCCUCUGACGUUAGCGGCGGACGGGUGAGUAACACGUGGAUAACCUACCUAUAAGACUGGGAUAACUUCGGGAAACCGGAGCUAAUACCGGAUAACAUGCUGAACCGCAUGGUUCAACAGUGAAAUACGGUCUUGCUGUCACUUAUAGAUGGAUCCGCGCCGCAUUAGCUAGUUGGUAAGGUAACGGGUUACCAGGGGUACGAUGCGUAUCCGAACGGAGAGGGUGAUCGCCCACCUUGGAAGGGGGCCGGGGUCCAGAGUCCUACGGGAGGCAGCAGUAGGGAAUCGUCGGCAAUGGGCGAAAACCUGACGGAGCAAGGCCGCGUGAGUGACGAAGGUGUUCGGAUCGGAAUAACGUGUUAUUAGGGAAGAACAACUGUGUAAGUAAAUGAGCACGGAUUGACGGUACCUAAUAAGAAAGCAACGGCUAACUACGUG